AUUGAACGCUGGCGGCAGGCCUAACACAUGCAAGUCGAGCGGAGCGGCGGACGGGAGGGUAAUGCCUAGGAAGCUGCCUGGUAGUGGGGGAGAAGGUCAGGAAAGGGGAGGUAAUACCGCACACUAUCAGAGGAGCGUAGGUGGGACGAGCCAGUGGGUGGGGUAGAGGCCGAGAAGGGGGACGAUCGGUAACGGGGCUGAGAGGAUGAUCAGGCACACUGGAACUGAGACACGGUCCAGACUCCUACGGGAGGCAGCAGUGGGGCAUAUUGGACAAUGGGCGAAAUCCUGAUCCAGCCAUGCCGCGUGUGUGAAGAGGGUCUUCGGAUUGUAAAGCACUUUAAGUUGGGAGGCGUUACCUACAGAAUAAGCACCGGCUAACUUCGUGCCAGCCGCCGCGGUAAUUC
rnacentral:rRNA from 1 species